CCUACGGGGGGCUGCAGUAGGGAAUAUUGGACAAUGGGGGCAACCCUGAUCCAGCCAUGCCGCGUGAGUGAAGAAGGCCCUCGGGUUGUAAAGCUCUUUUGUUGGGGAAGAAAAGCAGUUGGUUAAUACCCGAUUGUUCUGACGGUACCCAAAGAAUAAGCACCGGCUAACUUCGUGCCAGCAGCCGCGGUAAUACGAAGGGUGCAAGCGUUACUCGGAAUUACUGGGCGUAAAGCGUGCGUAGGUGGUUGUUUAAGUCUGAUGUGAAAGCCCUGGGCUCAACCUGGGAAUGGCAUUGGAUACUGGAUAGCUAGAGUGCGGUAGAGGGUAGUGGAAUUCCCGGUGUAGCAGUGAAAUGCGUAGAGAUCGGGAGGAACAUCCGUGGCGAAGGCGACUACCUGGGCCAGCACUGACACUGAGGCACGAAAGCGUGGGGAGCAAACAGGAUUAGAUACCCCAGUAGUC
rnacentral:rRNA from 1 species